rnacentral:rRNA from 1 species
CCCUUGUAUGUUUGAUGUUCUAACUUAGACCCAUUAUCUGGGUUGAGGACAGUGCCUGGUGGGUAGUUUGACUGGGGCGGUCUCCUCCCAAAGAGUAACGGAGGAGCACGAAGGUGGGCUAAUCACGGUUGGACAUCGUGAGGUUAGUGCAAUGGCAUAAGCCCGCUUAACUGCGAGAAUGACGGUUCGAGCAGGUGCGAAAGCAGGUCAUAGUGAUCCGGUGGUUCUGUAUGGAAGGGCCAU